rnacentral:rRNA from 1 species
UACAGAGGGUGCGAGCGUUAAUCGGAAUUACUGGGCGUAAAGGGUGCGUAGGCGGUUAGUUAAGUUAGAUGUGAAAUCCCCGGGCUUAACCUGGGAAUGGCAUUUAAGACUGGUUGACUAGAGUAGAGUAGAGGGUAGUGGAAUUUCCGGUGUAGCGGUGAAAUGCGUAGAUAUCGGAAAGAACAUCAGUGGCGAAGGCGGCUACCUGGACUCAUACUGACGCUGAGGCACGAAAGCAUGGGGAGCAAACAGG